GUCCAACUGACGAGUCCCAAAUAUGAUGAAAUGCGCCUCCUGGAU
rfam:Trichobilharzia regenti genome assembly, scaffold: TRE_scaffold0030057